rnacentral:siRNA from 1 species
AUAUCUGAACCUGAUUGCAUUUCU